AACAACUCAAGCUAAAUGUUUCAUAACAAUUCCUGGCAUGCUUCAAAAUGAUUAUUCCGUUAAUGUGUCUGACCUAACAACAAUCUCCACUAUUAAGAUCCUAAAUAGGAUUCAUGCAGCAUUCUAAUGCCUAUGAAUUUCUCAGUUGCUGAUUGAGAAAGAUAAUAAAAAGUGAAUGGCAGUAAAUGUUAUGCUUGCCACAUUGGGAGCCAGUCACUUCUCCACUAAGGGGUUUAAUAGGUGUAGUAAAUGUUAUGCUUGCCAGAUUGGGAGCCAGUCACUUCUCCACUAAGGGGUUUAAUAGGUGUAGUAAAUGUUAUGCUUGCCAGAUUGGGAGCCAGUCACUUCUCCACUAAGGGGUUUAAUAGGUUAAGUAAAUGUUAUGCUUGCCAGAUUGGGAGCCAGUCACUUCUCCACUAAGGGGUUUAAUAGGUGAAGUAAAUGUUAUGCUUGCCAGAUUGGGAGCCAGUCACUUCUCCACUAAGGGGUUUAAUAGGUGUAGUAAAUGUUAUGCUUGCCAGAUUGGGAGCCAGUCACUUCUCCACUAAGGGGUUUAAUAGGUGAAGUAAAUGUUAUGCUUGCCAGAUUGGGAGCCAGUCACUUCUCCACUAAGGGGUUUAAUAGGUGAAGUAAAUGUUAUGCUUGCCAGAUUGGGAGCCAGUCACUUCUCCACUAAGGGGUUUAAUAGGUGUAGUAAAUGUUAUGCUUGCCAGAUUGGGAGCCAGUCACUUCUCCACUAAGGGGUUUAAUAGGUGUAGUAAAUGUUAUGCUUGCCAGAUUGGGAGCCAGUCACUUCUCCACUAAGGGGUUUAAUAGGUGAAGUAAAUGUUAUGCUUGCCAGAUUGGGAGCCAGUCACUUCUCCUCUAAGGGAUUUAAUAAGUCCAGGCAGAGGCAUGCCAUGAAGGGUACAGGGUAGGAUAAAAUAAACAU